rnacentral:tRNA from 1 species
UCCUGGUGGCUCAGACGGUAAAGCGUCUGCCUGCAAUGCGGGAGACCUGGGUUCGAUCCCUGGGUCAGGAA